UUGACUAUACUCUGAUCCUGUGUCUUCCAUGCUAUGUAAUCAGCUGAGGUAGUGGUUGUGGAGCCAUCCGUGGAUGAAACAAACUGAGGUGGACAAGGAGUAGAGCCAUCCACAAAUCCAAAAAGGUUUUGGCCCCGGAGGAAUGAUUCCAUCCUGAACAACCAGAUAGGAUAGUUUAACUCAUCUAACAGUAUAUUGGGAAGGUAGACGGUGGUUUGAGUGGUGUGAGUGAGAUUUUGAGCUGUAGAUACUGUCAUGAUUCUGAAUUAAUGUGAAACAAAUAGACCAAUGGUCAGGAUUUUUGCAGAUCAAGGGAGGAUUUCUGCAGAUCUAAUUGGUUUUAGCUAGUACUUUGCUUGCAAGGUUCAAGAAUCA
rnacentral:lncRNA from 1 species